rnacentral:rRNA from 1 species
UGCCACAGGUGUAUUACACUGCAGACCGGUUACUCACUGAAGCUAAGCAGGGCUGAGCCUGGUCAAUACCUAUGGGAGACCGCAUGGGAAAACUAGGUUGCUGUUGGAA